AGCAGCCGCGGUGAUUCCAGCUCCAAUAGCGUAUAUUAAAGUUGUUGCAGUUAAAAAAGCUCGUAGUUGAAUUUCGGGGUCAGUAGGUCGGUCAUGCCACUGGUAUGUACUGGUCUCACUGAUUCCUCCUUCCUGAUGAACCGUAAUGCCAUUAAUUUGGUGUUGCGGGGAGACUGGACUGUUACUUUGAAAAAUUAGAGUGUUUAAAGCAGGCUAACGCUUGAAUACAUUAGCAUGGAAUAACGGAAUAGGACGUUCGAUCCUAUUUUGUUGGUUUCUAAGAUUGACGUAAUGAUUAAUAGGGAUAGUUGGGGGCAUUAGUAUUCAAUUGUCAGAGGUGAAAUUCUUGGAUUUAUUGAAGACUAACUACUGCGAAAGCAUUUGCCAAGGAUGUUUUCAUUAAUCAAGAACGAAAGUUAGGGGAUCGAAGACGAUCAGAUACCGUCGUAGUCUUAACCAUAAACU
rnacentral:sRNA from 1 species